GGCCUAACACAUGCAAGUCGAGCGGAUGACAGGAGCUUGCUCCUGAAUUCAGCGGCGGACGGGUGAGUAAUGCCUANGAAUCUGCCUGGUAGUGGGGGACAACGUCUCGAAAGGGACGCUAAUACCGCAUACGUCCUACGGGAGAAAGCAGGGGACCUUCGGGCCUUGCGCUAUCAGAUGAGCCUAGGUCGGAUUAGCUAGUUGGUGAGGUAAUGGCUCACCAAGGCGACGAUCCGUAACUGGUCUGAGAGGAUGAUCAGUCACACUGGAACUGAGACACGGUCCAGACUCCUACGGGAGGCAGCAGUGGGGAAUAUUGGACAAUGGGCGAAAGCCUGAUCCACCAUGCCGCGUGUGUGAAGAAGGUCUUCGGAUUGUAAAGCACUUUAAGUUGGGAGGAAGGGCAGUAACUUAAUACGUUGCUGUUUUGACGUUACCGACAGAAUAAGCACCGGCUAACUCUGUGCCAGCAGCCGCGGUAAUACAGAGGGUGCAAGCGUUAAUCGGAAUUACUGGGCGUAAAGCGCGCGUAGGUGGUUUGUUAAGUUGGAUGUGAAAGCCCCGGGCUCAACCUGGGAACUGCAUUCAAAACUGACAAGCU
rnacentral:rRNA from 1 species